ACGACCUCAACUCAAGCAAGACUACCCGCUGA
rnacentral:rRNA from 1 species